rnacentral:sRNA from 1 species
AAAAAAAUAAAAAAAAAAUAGAGGGAUGAAACACGAGGACUUCC